UGACGCCUGAUCCUCCCUCUGCUGAUAGUCAGGCACUGUGGAUUUUAGAGCGUCACAGAUCAAUGCAGGUUCUGGUUCACCCAGUGGACAUGAGGUAGUUCUGUUACCUGUCUAAUGAACGCUGGUUUCUACUGGAGCCUACACAC